rnacentral:rRNA from 1 species
UACGUAGGGUCCGAGCGUUGUCCGGAAUUACUGGGCGUAAAGAGCUCGUAGGUGGUUUGUCGUCGUUGUUCGUGAAACUCAACAGCUUAACCGUGGGCGUGCGGGCGAUACGGGCAGACUUGAGUACUGCAGGGGAGACUGGAAUUCCUGGUGUAGCGGUGGAAUGCGCAGAUAUCAGGAGGAACACCGGUGGCGAAGGCGGGUCUCUGGGCAGUAACUGACGCUGAGGAGCGAAAGCGUGGGGAGCGAACAGG